UAGAAAACCAAUUAGGAUAUAUUCGUCAGG
rnacentral:piRNA from 1 species